UACGUAGGGGGCUAGCGUUGUCCGGAAUCAUUGGGCGUAAAGCGCGUGUAGGCGGUCCGGUAAGUCCGCUGUGAAAGUCGGGGGCUCAACCCUCGGAUGCCGGUGGAUACUGUCGGGCUUGAGUACGGAAGAGGCGAGUGGAAUUCCUGGUGUAGCGGUGAAAUGCGCAGAUAUCAGGAGGAACACCAACGGCGAAGGCAGCUCUCUGGGACGUUACUGACGCUGAGACGCGAAAGCGUGGGGAGCAAACAGG
rnacentral:rRNA from 1 species